rnacentral:rRNA from 1 species
UACGGGGGGGGCAAGCGUUGUUCGGAAUUACUGGGCGUAAAGGGCUCGUAGGCGGCCAACUAAGUCGGACGUGAAAUCCCUCGGCUUAACCGGGGAACGGCGUCUGAUACUGGAUGGCUUGAGUUCGGGAGAGGGAUGCGGAAUUCCAGGUGUAGCGGUGAAAUGCGUAGAUAUCAGGAAGAACACCCGUGGCUAAGGCGGCUCUCUAGUACGGUACUGACGCUGAGACGCGAAAGCGUGGGGAGCGAACAGG